GACGUAGGGGGCGAGCGUUGUCCGGAUUCAUUGGGCGUAAAGCGCGCGCAGGCGGCCCGGUAAGUCGGAUGUGAAAUCCCACGGCUCAACCGUGGAACUGCAUUCGAUACUGUCGGGCUAGAGGCAGGUAGGGGAGAUCGGAAUUCCUGGUGUAGCGGUGAAAUGCGCAGAUAUCUGGAGGAACACCGGUGGCGAAGGCGGCAUCCUGGACCGAGAUUGACGCUGAGGCGCGAAAGCCAGGGGAGCCAAAGCGGGG
rnacentral:rRNA from 1 species